GCCUUAUACAGGAAUUAAGUGUUAAAAACACAUGCUUCAUCAUUGCCUACCCUGAGUCUUUAGUUCUUUGGGACCCACUGAUCAAGUUCAACCUCCAUGUUUGAUAGAGGAGGAAACGGAGCUCCUGAGAAGGGAGGCACCCAUUCUGGGUGACAAAGCAAGUCACUGGCCAAAGUGAGUCUGCAGCUUGAAGCUUAGCUCCGGGACCCCUCGCUGCUUCCGGCUUCCUUGUUUUUCAGGAACCAUGGAGCUGAAGGCUGCGCUAGUGCAGGAAGGGUCCUGGCUCUCUGGGGUGGUGGGUGGGGCUCAAGGAAGCUGAAGAGGCUCACCUGGUGGGGCUCAGUUGAUGGUUGAAGUGUGGAGUGGGUGUUGCUGAUACCCUCACCACGGGAGCUGUCCUUAACCCUAGGCUCUUCAAUUCCCCUGCUGAAGAGCUGUCUGCUUCCAUCGAAAUCAGAGGAACAAGAGUUACCUACUUCAUAGGGCAGCUGCUGGCUUCAGAGAGGGAAGUGCUUAAAGUAGCUGGUGUGGCUCUGGGCAUGAGGUCACCUGCCACUGUUCCUGUGUCUUCUUAUCUCCUGCCUGUAGUCAUUAGCCCUGCUGUCUCCCUCGGCGUGUCCAGGACAGAAGCGGUUUAAUGCCACGAUGUGCAGGGCCUGUGUGCAGGCUCCAAGGGACAUCUUAGUAAUUAGUUUUAUAAUUGCUAGACCUCUGUUGGCUCCAGUAAACAACUGCUUGCCAUUUUAAAGCAUGGCUGAGUUAUAGAGAUGACUAGAUGUCGACAAGUGCGAGAAUUAUGUGGCACCAGUGAUAUAUAACACCUCUGGUUUCCCUCUGCAUAAUCGGCCAGCUCUUCCUGCUCCAUCCUAACAAACUGGGAGAAGGUCUGCUCAUGGGGCCAGAGAACAAGUCUCCCUUGAUCACAGCCACUGGGAGAACACAUUGGUUAUGCUGACAAGGAAGUUACUCAGUCCUUAAAUCAGAACGCCAUCUUCAUCCCCCGGGACAGGAAAGCAGAACUGCCAUCCUUCCACUG
ensembl:lncRNA